GAUGAACGCUAGCGGCAGGCUUAACACAUGCAAGUCGAGGGGUAUAGUUCUUCGGAGCUAGAGACCGGCGCACGGGUGCGUAACGCGUAUGCAAUCUACCUUUUACAGAGGGAUAGCCCAGAGAAAUUUGGAUUAAUACCUCAUAGUAUGUGAGAAUCGCAUGGUUUUCACAUUAAAGUUCCAACGGUAAAGAUGAGCAUGCGUCCCAUUAGCUAGAUGGUAAGGUAACGGCUUACCAUGGCGACGAUGGGUAGGGGUCCUGAGAGGGAGAUCCCCCACACUGGUACUGAGACACGGACCAGACUCCUACGGGAGGCAGCAGUGAGGAAUAUUGGACAAUGGGCGCAAGCCUGAUCCAGCCAUGCCGCGUGCAGGAUGACGGUCCUAUGGAUUGAAACUGCUUUUGACAGGAAGAAACACUCCCUCGUGAAGGGNGCUUGACGGUACU
rnacentral:rRNA from 1 species